UAUAGUUUGAUCUAUGUUGUUUGCUCAUAGAAUGUACUCCGUUUUGUUGCACUGUUUCUUUUCUUAUUCUUAUAUGCAGGGAUGAUUUGUUUUCUUUUCUUUUCAGUUUCAAACAGAUUUACAGUUCUUUUCUCUUGCUUAAAUUUGUGAAAUAUAUGUAUAUGGAGAGCCCAGAUUAAGAAAUAGCGGUUACGCAUUAUGUAGCCUUUUUAUUGGGUUAAACGAUGGAGUACAAUGUGUUCAUUUGAUGUUUUUAGCUGAGAUUGUGAUGAUUUUCAUUUUGUGGAUUUUCAGUUUUUGCAAGAUGGUAGUAGUGUAUGAGAGCGUUAAGAGGAGGCUGUGAGUAGAAGGUGGUUCUUUGCAGGCUAGGCAAGCAAAAGUUCACUCUCUGGACUUGCUCCACUUGAAGCAGUGCUAUUUGAUAUUGAUAGAACUCUGUGUGAUUUAGACCCCAUUCAUUUCAAUGCCUUCCACAAAAUGCUUCCAUAGUUUUUGCAAGAUGUUAACAGUGUACAAGAGAGUCAAGAAGAGUACAAGAGAGUCAAGAAGAGGCUGUGAGUAGAAGGAGGUUCUUUGCAGGCUAGACAAGAGUUAAAACUCCUGCAAAAGACAAGAAAGAAAGAACAGAAACCACUUCUGCAGUAGAGCAAACAAGAGAUGGAUCUAAUUUCAACAGACAUCAAGGCAGAAAAAUCCCCUUCCCCCACCAGUGGCAUAUAUGUAAAGACAUGUCCAAACUCUUUUGAACAAGGAGCAGCUCAACUGUUGAUAUUUUGAUUGCUGCUUGGUUUAAUAAAAUAUGAUCAAUAUUUUAAGAUGACAAGCAACAUAUAAAACACGUUAUUAGUCUUUA